AGAAAGCCCUGGGGGUGGGGGCGUGGAAGCAAAAGACAGCGGGUCUCUGCGAGUCACUCUUGUUCAGUCUCAGGACCCUGGGAGACACUCAUGGUUUCCUGGGCUUUUUCCCAGGAAUUUGGCAUUGAACUUGAUGUUAAUCUGAGGGAGUUUCCAGUUCCUGGCUGCGAGGCUGGAUGAGGACACGUGGCCCCGAGGCACAGAGAGCCCAGGGCUGUGGGCAGAGAAGAGUCAGAGCCUCAGGGGCCUCGCCCUGUCCAGAACUCCACGUGACAUGACGCCCCACAGAGCGAACCUCUGACAAACAAGCAUGGGGCCCGUGUUGCCCUAGUGGAUGGAAAUGGACGUGGGAAGCAAGCAAGAUGCAUGUAAAUAAAUGGAUUCCACAGAAGAGUGAGGCCUCAUCUCAGCCUGCUGCCUGGGCACUGAAACUCACCCUGAGCUGUCUCAUUAGCCCAGAAUCUUGCACUUGGAAGACAGUAGAUCAACGUCUUCUCGCUCUACAGGUCACCACCCUCAGACUUUGUCUUCAGGAAGAAAUGCUUCCAGAGAACAUCACCUAAGAACAAGGGCAUUCUCUUACAUAACCACAGCAUAAUUACCAAAAUCAGUCCACUUGUUCCCGUUAAAUAUUGAAGCCGUCAAAAUCAUCUUUCAAGAAAGGCACAGACCUGUCUCCUGGUCACAUCCUCGACCUUGGCAAAAUAAACUUCAAAACUGAUUGAGACCUGUCUCAUGAAUUCCUGAGAAAAACCUAUUUGCAUGAAUUCAUGAGCAGUUUAAUUUAUUAAAUCAUGAAUAUAUAACAUUACAUCAAUAGAACCAAUAAGAAAAAACAUACAAUAUCCUCUAUGCUGAGAAAGUGGCAGAAGAAUUUAAUACCCAUUUCUUGGAAAAUGAAAUAUUGGAAUAUACAGAAAAGUGAAAAAUCAAAAAGGGUGGUGUUGGCAAAAAAAGACUGGAUAGAUGGAAGGAACAAUGGAGGUGAUACAGAAUGUAGCAUGUGAAGAAGCAGAAUGAAAAAGGAUACAUCACAAAUCAAACAGAAAAAUUUACUAAAUCACUUUUUAUCUACUUCCACAAUAAUGCUGUAAAGAAAACCACUUCAAAGCUUGGUGGAGCAAAGCAAUAAACAUUUAUGAUUGCUCAUGAGCCUAGGGUCAGCUGGGUGGUUCUUCUGGUUGGGACAGGGCAAGGGUGAUCUUGGUUAGGCUCACUCAGCUGGAGGGUUGUUGACUGGUGACUGGAUGAUCUAAGAUGGUUAUGCCUGGGACAGAUAUAAAUAUAGAAGAAAGUAGAAAUUUGGUUUUGUUUGUAGCUCCUCUUAAAAUAUCCUAUCUGAUUUAAAAGACUACUGCCUAAUGCAAUAAUUGUACAUCUAAGUAGAUUGAUACACAAUGUAUUAAGGCCUCAAAAUAUAUGAAGAUGUAUAUUGGGACCAUAACAGCCCUAAGGGGUAGGGGAACAAAGCUAUAUAGAAACAAAAUUAAAAAAAAUACUAUUGAAGUAGUUGGUAGUAAUCCAAACUAGAUUAUUGUAAGCUAAAAUGCUAAUGGUAACCCCAAUAAUAAUCAUGAUAAAAUACUCAAAAAUAUAUAGUAAAAGAACUAACUGGAAAAUAGAAGUGGUACUGGAAGAUAUCUAUUUAACACAAGGCAGUAAUGGAAAAAAAAAGGAAGAACAAAAAAGACGUAAGUCACGUAAAAAACAAAUAACAAAAUGGCAGACGUAAAUUCUAUCUUACUUAUAUUAAAUAGUAAUAGAUUAAAUUCUCCAAUUAAAAGUCAGAAAUUGGAAGAGUGAAUGAAAAAAACAUUGUAUAAAUAUACGCUAUAUCUAUCCAACAAUAUGUAUACAAGAAACACACUUUUGAUUCAAAGACACAAAUUGGUUGAAAUUAAUAUGAUGGAAAGAGAUGGAUAACCAACAGAGAGCUGGAGGGACUAUGCUAAUAUUAGACAAAAUAGACACAUGUUGUUCCUGGAGACAAAGGACAUUUUAUAAUGACAUAAGGGUAAAUUCACCAAGAAGGUAUAACAAAUAUAAAUAUAUGUAUAUGUAACAACAGAAUCUCAAAAUACAUGAAGCAAAACUGACAGAAUUGAAGAGAGCAAUAGACAAUUUACCGGUAAUAAAGACUUCACUAUUCUACUUUCAACAACGGAUAGUGCAACUAAGCAAGAGAAUGAGAUUUAAUAUCUAGCAUUACCUUAAUUCUAUUUCUUUGUAAAAUAUAUCUUGGCUAUUUGUGUCCAAUUGUUACACUUACACAAACACAUUUAAAAAUUAGUAUUUCACACAUUAUAUAAAUGAUGCUAAGCAAGCAAUAGGAUUCUUUAUUUAAUCAUCACUUAAUUGUUUUUUUUUAAAAACUCAUCUACC
rnacentral:lncRNA from 1 species